GCCUUUUUCUCACUUCCUAGUUCUUCGCAUCAGAAGUGCUUUGUCCACGAAUAGAUUUUUAUUUAUGAUGAAAUCGGCUUCUCUAUAGUGAGUGCGAUGCAACAGCGUACGGUGCAUCAUGCUGGCGGUCCAUCGCAAAAAAUGCACGCCAAAUGUAUGCACAAUCCAUGCUCAUGAGCAUAUUGUUUGCGGGUCUUCCAUCCUGCACUAUAAUUGGGUGCGGUA
rnacentral:lncRNA from 1 species